UACGGGGGGGGCAAGCGUUGUUCGGAAUUACUGGGCGUAAAGGGCUCGUAGGCGGCCAACUAAGUCGGAUGUGAAAUCCCCAGGCUCAACCUGGGAACUCGCAUCCGAUACUGGAUGGCUUGAAUUCGGGAGAGGGAUGCAGAAUUCCGAGGUGUAGCGGUGAAAUGCGUAGAUAUCUGGAGGAAUACCGGUGGCGAAGGCGGCAUCCUGGACCGACAUUGACGCUGAGGAGCGAAAGCCAGGGGAGCAAACGGGG
rnacentral:rRNA from 1 species